rnacentral:rRNA from 1 species
UACGUAGGCAGCAAGCGUUGUUCGGAAUUACUGGGCGUAAAGAGUGUGUAGGCGGUGCUCUAAGUCUGUUGUGAAAUCUCCCGGCUUAACUGGGAGGGUGCGGCGGAGACUGGAGUGCUAGAGUGUAGGAGAGGUAAGCGGAAUUCCUGGUGUAGCGGUGAAAUGCGUAGAUAUCAGGAGGAACACCUGUGGUGUAGACAGCUUACUGGACCACGACUGACGCUGAGACACGAAAGCGUGGGUAGCAAACAGG